rnacentral:lncRNA from 1 species
CUUGAUUUUCUGUUGAUUUUUUGCCGUAUUUAAGUAUACUUUGUCACUAUUUUAAGCACGACUAAGAGUGUUUUGUCGUGUUCAAAAUGCUGGGGCGUAUUGUGGAAUUUAAUUAAACGCAUAUGACUUCAAUCUGCAAUGCCAAUGUAAUGUUACGUGAGUACAAUAGAUCCAGUUUAUUCCUGUGGCUGUGGUUAGGACCUUUUCCGCUAGUCUUAUAUCUGUAACUUAUAGGAUUGCACGGCCUCCUUACCAUUCUGUAGUAAUUAGUAAA